GGGCUACUAGCUCAGUUGGUUAGAGCGUACCCCUGAUAAGGGUAAGGUCUCAGGUUCAAAUCCUGAGUAGCCC
rnacentral:tRNA from 1 species